CUAACCCUUCUCUCUCUUAUUUCAUUUUAUCUCUCUACAAAUUUCCUCUCACCCCACUUCUCUGUGGUUCAAGCUGAGAAAUUCUUCACUAGCUAGCUCGUCGAAAAUUGUUCAAUGGGUUUCAAAUUUUUUUUGGGUUUUCGUUUAAUUUUUAAAUUUUAUGAUUUUAAUUUUACUUUUUUAUUUCUAGCUUCAUACGGCGGAGAAUUACAGGGGUUGUGGAAGAUGAAUCUCCGAUCUCCAGGAGGUGAAGAACAACUGGUGGGUCUUUUCAUCAACUACGGGCAAGCAUCUGAUUUCAUUGACUUUCUUGGAAAUAUCUUUCUGUGAAGAUGGUGAGCCCAAAAUAGAUGCAAAAGCUGGGGAUUUGAAGGGACCCGCUGGAGGUUUUGCCUAAUAUUCAGAUUAGCUAUAAUCCCAGAGGAUGCAAUAGAGCAGAAGAUCUUUUAGCCUAGAAGUGUAGACUAAGUGACUCUACUGAUUGUUCUGAUUCAGAGAACAAUAAC